GUCCGCAGAUGUUUUUUAUAAGAACCUCUAAAGAUGCUUCCAUUUUCCAUUAAAUUCUGCUGCCUACAGGUGAGGAAAUGAGGAACAGACCCAGAAGAAGGCUGGGCGAGGUGGUGUCUUGCUGGCUUGCAAACCUGAGGCUUGUAAACCUCACCACCAGGUGUCAGCAACUAUUAAUAAUGCUAAAGCUGGAGGGGCUGGCCCUGGGCAGGGUGUUUAGCACCCAGGCCAUCUCCUACUAGCACAACGAGAAAGCCCAAGGUCUCGCAAAGUCCAUGGAGAACAGUGAGUGGAAAAUGGGUCUUCAGGAAGAUACAGCCAAGAUACUGGAGUUGCCCGUGGCUUUCCAGGAAGACCAGAAGGACUUGAGCUCUCCAUGCAAAUGGAUUCCCGAGCUAUCAGGAGGAGAGGUGCGCGGGGAGCAGCCGGGAGCGCAGCGUGCCCAGCUCCAUGUGCCUCCCACCAGCAGCUCUCGCCUGCCCGGGCACGCAUGGAGCACGCCGUGCUGCCUGAUGGCAUACGAAACCACCAGGUGGCUCCGGCACACCCUGACUCCUGCAUUCAAAUACAAGAGAGAGGUGCAGGAAGGGGUGCCGUGACCUCAUUUCAUGGAGCAGGAUGGGACCAUCGCUCCACCAGCUGAGAAAAUGAACGUGGACCUGCCACGGACACGCGCUGGAUUUUUCGUGGGGGGACGCUGUACCUGAGCCACAAGGCAGGUGAGUGCUGCAGCUCCUGGCCCAGUCCGAAGAUGAGGAGGGACGCUGGUGCUAGGAAAACUCUGUCCUGGCUCAACAAAAGUCUGGAGGCUUGAAUUAGGCCUGUUUUUACAGACUGGAGGGCUUAGCCAAAGCUAACUUAGGCAGAGAGCCUUUCUGCCCGCAGCAUACAACCCCCAGCUCAGCACGGAGGCACCUGUCUUCACCCAAGGCUGGUAAUCAAAUAAUCGAUGUGCAUAUUCAGCCCAACCCAGAGCAAUAAUUUGCACAAAAUAAAACAGCAGCAUUGCAUGUCCA
rnacentral:lncRNA from 1 species